AUGGCUCAGGAUGAACGCUAGCUACAGGCUAACACAUGCAAGUCGAGGGCAGCAUGGGAUUAGCUUGCUAAUCCUGAUGGCGACCGGCGCACGGUGAGUAACGCGUAUCCAACUUCCCCUUACUCAGGGAUAGCCCGGUGAAAACCGGAUUAACACCUGAUAGUUUCACUAGAUGGCAUCUGACGGUGAAUAAAGAUUUGCGGUAAGGGAUGGGGAUGCGUCUGAUUAGCUUGUUGGCGGGGUAACGGCCACCAAGGCGACGAUCAGUAGGGUUCUGAGAGGAAGGUCCCCCACAUUGGAACUGAGACACGGUCCAAACUCCUACGGGAGGCAGCAGUGAGGAAUAUUGGUCAAUGGGCGAGAGCCUGAACCAGCCAAGUAGCGUGCAGGAUGACGGCCCUAUGGGUUGUAAACUGCUUUUGUACGGGAAUAAAGUGACCUACGUGUAGGUUUUUGCAUGUACCGUAAGAAUAAGGACCGGCUAAUUCCGUGCCAGCAGCAGC
rnacentral:rRNA from 1 species